rnacentral:rRNA from 1 species
UACGAAGGGUGCAAGCGUUACUCGGAAUUACUGGGCGUAAAGCGUGCGUAGGCGGCGGGGUAAGUCUGGUGUGAAAUCUCGGAGCUCAACUCCGAAAUUGCACUGGAUACUGCUCUGCUUGAGGGUUGGAGAGGAGAUCGGAAUUCACGGUGUAGCAGUGAAAUGCGUAGAUAUCGUGAGGAAGACCAGUGGCGAAGGCGACUCUUUGGUCUGUAACUGACGCUGAGGCGCGAAAGCGUGGGGAGCAAACAGG